UGGCUAUAUCAUAGUGAAACACUGGUUCUCGUACGACCACCGAAAUUAAGCAACGUCGAGCCUGAUCAGCACCGAGAUGGGUAAACACUUGGGAAUACAAGGUGCUGUU